CUACGGGGGGCUCCAGUGAGGAAUAUUGCACAAUGGGGGAAACCCUGAUGCAGCAACGCCGCGUGGAGGAUGACGCAUUUCGGUGUGUAAACUCCUUUUAUAUAGGAAGAUAAUGACGGUACUAUAUGAAUAAGCACCGGCUAACUCCGUGCCAGCAGCCGCGGUAAUACGGAGGGUGCAAGCGUUACUCGGAAUCACUGGGCGUAAAGCGCGCGCAGGCGGCCUUUUAAGUUGGAUGUGAAAGCCUAUGGCUUAACCAUAGAACUGCAUCCAAAACUAUCAGGCUAGAGUCUGGGAGGGGAAGAUGGAAUUAGUUGUGUAGGGGUAAAAUCCGUAGAGAUAACUAGGGAUACCAAAAGCGAAGGCGAUCUUCUGGAACAGUACUGACGCUGAGGCGCGAAAGCGUGGGGAGCAAACAGGAUUAGAUACCCCGGUAGUC
rnacentral:rRNA from 1 species